rnacentral:rRNA from 1 species
CGGCUGAACCAGCAAUUUGGAGGAAUGUAAGUAAAAAGAAUGAAAAUUCUUUUUCUAGCGGUUUAUCCGCAUAAAAUUCUAGAUAGAUAAUUGAUAAUGACAAAUUUCUAUCUACAAGUCUCGACAAAAUCACGUGCCAGCAGUCGCGGUAAUACGGGAGAGACGAGUGUUAUUCAUCUUUAUUAGGUUUAAAGGGUACCUAGACGGUUUAUUAUGCCCUCUGUCAAGGGUGGAUACAAAUAGACUAGAGUUUUAAUGGAAGAGGUAUAUCAGAAUAAACGGAGUAGAGAUAAAAUUCUUUGAUCCCGGGGAGACUGGUAACGGCGAAAGCGACCCUCUAUGUACAAACUGACGUUGAGGGACGAAGGCAUUGGUAACGAACAGGAUUAGAUACCCUAGUAGUCUCUGCAGACAAUGAUGAGUGCCAUAGAUUAGAUUUAGUUUGAUUUAUAAAUGAAAGUGUAAGCAUUCCACCUCAAGAGUAAUGUGGCAACGCAGGAACUGAAAUCAUUAGACCGUUUCUGAAACCAGUAGUGAAGUAUGUUAUUUAAUUCGAUAAUCCGCGAAAAACCUUACCACAAUUUGAAUAUUAUACUACUGAUAUUACAUCAGUUAUAUUACAGGUGCUGCACGGCUGUCUUUAGUUAAUGUCGUGAGACUUAGGUUGACUCCGUUUAAUUAACGUAAACCCCUAUUCCAUUUGUAUGACUAUAAUUUUUAUUUUUAUAAAUUGAUUAUACAAUUAGUUUAUAUGGAAUAGUUCUAAAAAACAUAAAAAGGAUAAAAGGGAUCAAGGCAAGUACUCGUGGUC